GAAACUUAGGAUAAUCCACCCAAACCGAAGGCCUUCAAAGCCUUAAAUAAGAGUUAGACCCUCUUAGUUUCUGC
rnacentral:tRNA from 1 species